rnacentral:rRNA from 1 species
GACAGAGGGUGCGAACGUUGUUCGGAAUCACUGGGCGUAAAGCGCGUGUAGGCUGUCGCGAAAGUCGGGUGUGAAAGCCCUGGGCUCAACCUGGGAAGUGCACUCGAAACUGCGUGACUUGAGUAUCGGAGAGGGAGGCGGAAUUCUCGGUGUAGAGGUGAAAUUCGUAGAUAUCGAGAGGAACACCAGCGGCGAAGGCGGCCUCCUGGACGACAACUGACGCUGAGACGCGAAAGCGUGGGGAGCAAACAGG